rnacentral:rRNA from 1 species
CUCAAACAAGCUCCUCGCGCUUGGUAUGAUACAAUCAAAGACUUCCUGAAGAGCAAGGGCUUCAAACCUGGAUCCCUCGAUCCCACACUCUUCACGAAGACAUAUGAUGGUGAACUGUUUGUAUGCCAAAUAUAUGUGGAUGACAUAAUCUCCGGCUGCACCAAUCAGAAGUAUAGUGAUGAGUUUGGAUACAUGAUGCAAGAGCAAUAUCAGAUGUCCAUGAUGGGUGAGCUGAAGUUCUUCCUUGGUCUUCAAAUUCAUCAGCAAAGAAAUGGCAUCUUCAUAUCUCAAGAAAAAUAUCUCAAAGACUGUCUGAAGAAGUUCGGCAUGCAAGAUUGCAAAGGGUACACGACGCCAAUGCCAGCCAAACAUCAUCUUGGUCCCAACAACAAUGGUAAAGGGUUCGAUCAACAGGUAUACCGCUCCAUGAUUGGUUCUUUACUUUAA